CCUACGGGAGGCAGCAGUGAGGAAUAUUGGUCAAUGGGCGAGAGUCUGAACCAGCCAAGUAGCGUGAAGGAUGACUGCCCUAUGGGUUGUAAACUUCUUUUAUAUGGGAAUAAAAUGUUGCACGUGUGGGAUUUUGUAUGUACCAUAUGAAUAAGGAUCGGCUAACUCCGUGCCAGCAGCCGCGGUAAUACGGAGGAUCCGAGCGUUAUCCGGAUUUAUUGGGUUUAAAGGGAGCGUAGGUGGAUUGUUAAGUCAGUUGUGAAAGUUUGCGGCUCAACCGUAAAAUUGCAGUUGAAACUGGCAGUCUUGAGUACAGUAGAGGUGAGCGGAAUUCGUGGUGUAGCGGUGAAAUGCUUAGAUAUCACGAAGAACUCCGAUUGCGAAGGCAGCUUACUGGACUGCAACUGACACUGAGGCUCGAAAGUGUGGGUAUCAAACAGGAUUAGAUACCCAUGUAGUC
rnacentral:rRNA from 1 species